UACGUAGGGCGCAAGCGUUAUCCGGAAUUAUUGGGCGUAAAGAGCUCGUAGGCGGUUUGUCGCGUCUGCCGUGAAAGUCCGGGGCUCAACUCCGGAUCUGCGGUGGGUACGGGCAGACUAGAGUGAUGUAGGGGAGACUGGAAUUCCUGGUGUAGCGGUGAAAUGCGCAGAUAUCAGGAGGAACACCGGUGGCGAAGGCGGUCUCUGGGCCGAUACUGACGCUGAGGAGCGAAAGCGUGGGGAGCGAACAGG
rnacentral:rRNA from 1 species